GAAAGUCAGAGAAAGGUGUGGACUCUGAUGGAGAAGGACCAAAUGUGAUGCCAAAUGUGCUAGACAGACUCCUGGAGUGAGAGUGAGGAUUCCCAUCAUUGGGACCCUUCAGGACUGGAACCAGAAGUUCUAUUCUGUAUUUUUAAGAGAAUACAUACAUCAUUGGCUUCCAUCAUGGGCUGUUCCUCUGUCCCCUUAUAGAUGCUGAAUUUCCAGGACUCAGGACCAAACUUGCUUGGAAUGGAGUCCAUUGUACGUCAGACACCAUAGGGUAGACACUAAUAUCCAUCUUGCUCCCUGUGAACAUUUCAGAUUUCAGGUCUAGAGAUCAGGAAGCAAGGUGCAGGAUGCAAUUAUGGAAUUCCACUGACAUGUCAAUGCCUGGCCCAGUAAACACCCAGCACACAUUAAUCAAUUAAUGAAGCAUAGAUGCAGGAAUAAGCAGAAUAAGAUUAUCAUCUCAAUCUACAUAUAUAAAAUCCUAAUAAGCAAAUAGACCGAAUGGCGGAACAACUGAACAACCGGUCACUAUGACAUGCGCUGACCACCAGGGAGCACAUGCGGAACAUUGCAGGCAUCAGCCAUGGCAGGAUGGUGAAGCAGGUGAGCGGGGGUGCCAGACCAAGGCAGGGCGCCUGUCGCUGUCAUCGGGGUGAGCCUAGUUACUGAAAAUUCUUUGCUCCCGAGUGCCAUGGUCCCGCCCAGUGCUCACACCCGCUGCCAACACCCAGCAUGGGCCCCAAUUGCUCGGC